UAGAGGUACAUCACACGCUUAAGCAAAGCACUGAGUUGGUUGAUGUUGUUGAUGGGCGCAUGGAAUUAGCAGCAGCAAGAUAUUGUAUGCGACGCAAUUAGCUCGCUCAGCUAGUUGUUUUUGUUGUUGCUUCCUAUUUCAAAUGCUUAGCUUUGCAUUAGGGUGACGUGUGAAGUUGUUUGUGGAAUGGUGUGGUCAUAUGGGAGCAGCAGCAGCAGCAACAGCAACAGCAGUAGUAAAAACAGCGCACCAUGCUGUAGCCAUAGCCGUGCCGUGACUCGUUGCUCCCUUAUAUUAAUUUUUUUCACUGUGGCCCGUUGUCGUUGUUGUUAGAUAAAAAGGUGACGCCGCAGUUAUAAUAUUGUUAAUAUUUUUAUUUUUUAAAUAACUAUACAUAAGUUGGUGUACAUACUCGUGUACUCUUUUAUUUUGUUGUAUUUUUAAUAUUUUGUCACCGAUUUUGUUUACUCAGCAAAAUUGAGAGUGCAUGCAACACCCUUCAGCAAUAAGACGAUAAAGAGGUAAGGGGGUCGAAUGGCAGCAGCGUAUGUUAGAGUAUGAUGUCAGCUAAGACGAAGUGCUCUGGGGGAUUAGUUCCGAAACUACGGGAAAUUGGAGAGUAAUGUUCCAAGUGAUUCAGGCUACUCGGGCAGUAGUAAAAAGGUUCACUUCAAAAGUUUGCGGUUCCUUAUUCUUUACGUAAAGGUUCCAGCUGACGACUGUGGGAAUUACAGUGAGAAUCCAAGUCAGGUUGAGGUGAGCUCAUUUGAAGUAACAAUAGACAUUGUUGGCGGCCAUGCUGAAAUCCUGUGUUCUCAAGCCACAUUAAAUAUGCCAGGUCCUUUGAAUUCUGUAGAUUCGACCUCUACAAGAAGAAAAGGGAAGAAACGACGCUCUGAUGCCGGCGUGAAUGAACCGAUUGAGCAAGUCCUAACAGCAAUCGAAAAGAAGAAGCCGAUGGAGACAUUUUUUCAAAGCAUUGCUCAAUAAGUGGAAAAUUUCAACCAAAAUUUCCAAAGAAAAUUUUUAGACUUAUUGGCUGAAGAGUUUCUAUAAGAUGAGCAAUAGCUGAAAGCCUUGUGAUAUUUUUGUAUGCUAUUCUCAAGAAAUGAUUUUUUUGUUUUUUUUUUAGUGUAUGUUAAUAAUGCUGUAGAAAAUAAAGUUUCUAAUUUUGUGUUACUAGUUUUAAGAUGAAAUUAUUUAUUUUUUAAAUGUAAGUUAGGCUUGAAAAAUUAAAGUGCA